rnacentral:rRNA from 1 species
AGAACGAACGCUGGCGGCAGGCUUAACACAUGCAAGUCGAACGCGUGUAGCAAUACACGAGUGGCGCACGGGUGAGUAACGCGUGGAUAUCUGCCUUUUGGUUCGGAAUAACCCCGGGAAACUGGGGCUAAUACCGGAUGGUUCCUACGGGAUAAAGAUUUAUCGCCAAAAGAUGAGUCCGCGUACGAUUAGCUAGUUGGUGAGGUAACGGCCUACCAAGGCGACGACGGGUAGCC